rnacentral:rRNA from 1 species
GAUGAACGCUGGCGGCGUGCUUAACACAUGCAAGUCGAACGAGGAUUUAACGGAAUGCGAUUCGUCAAAUGAAAUUAAAUCCGAGUGGCGGACGGGUGAGUAACGCGUGGAUAACCUGCCUCACACAGGGGGACAACAGUUGGAAACGACUGCUAAUACCGCAUAAGCCCACGACCUGGCAUCGGGUUGAGGGAAAAGGAGCAAUCCGCUUUGAGAUGGCCUCGCGUCCGAUUAGCUAGUUGGUGAGGUAACGGCCCACCAAGGCAACGAUCGGUAGCCGGACUGAGAGGUUGAACGGCCACAUUGGGACUGAGACACGGCCCAGACUCCUACGGGAGGCAGCAGUGGGGAAUAUUGCACAAUGGGGGAAACCCUGAUGCAGCGACGCCGCGUGGAGGAAGAAGGUCUUCGGAUUGUAAACUCCUGUUGUUGAGGAAGAUAAUGACGGUACUCAACAAGGAAGUGACGGCUAACUACGUGCCAGCAGCCGCGGU